AAACCCCUUGAUACCAGCUUCCAGCACACUGCUGUGACAUCUCCUCUCUGCCUCUUUUGUCUAAUUAGAAGGCCCCAGGCAUAUGCUUGUUCUUUUAAAACCCUUCACAAUAUAAUGCUUGUCUGGCCAACCUGAAUGGAGCUGAACUGAUGGAGGGACAGGCACCCUGCAUCCUGCAUCCUUCACCCUUCCUGUGGGCUGCAACAGGUCUGCAACAGAGUGACCACUGAUCUCUAAUUCCCACCACCAUCCAUGCCCCACUCCAGCAUCAGCAGUGAAUUUCUUGCUCCCAGAUCACUCCAGGGAAAGCAAACAGUAUCUGCUCCAGUCAGUGCUCCAUCCUCUUAUUCUCAUCCCACAUUAUGCCUGGAUAGCCUGACGGGCCAUAGGAAGCCUUCUGCUGUUUCCAGACAUCGGGGCAGUUUUGCAUCCCUGUGCCAGGUCUGUGUCCAUGUACUGGUGGCUGGGAUGGCUGCCCAGCAGGGAGACGUCCUGCUGGCUCCCAGGCUGCCUUAG
rnacentral:lncRNA from 14 species